UACGGGGGGAGCAAGCGUUGUUCGGAUUUACUGGGCGUAAAGGGCGCGUAGGCGGCCUCUGCAAGUCGACUGUGAAAUCUCCGGGCUUAACCCGGAAAGGUCAGCCGAUACUGCAGGGCUAGAGUGCAGAAGGGGCAACUGGAAUUCUCGGUGUAGCGGUGAAAUGCGUAGAUAUCGAGAGGAACACCUGCGGCGAAGGCGGGUUGCUGGGCUGACACUGAUACGCGAAAGCGUGGGGAGCGAACCGG
rnacentral:rRNA from 1 species